rnacentral:rRNA from 1 species
UAAGCAUAUAAUUAAGCGGAGGAAAAGAAACUAACUAGGAUUCCCUCAGUAACGGCGAGUGAAGCGGGACUAGCUCAGGAUGUGAAUCUGCGCUUUUAUGGCGCCGAAUUGUGGUCUGUAGACCUUGACGUUAUUUGCCGGGCCAAGUUCCUUGGAAAAGGACAGCUGAGAGGGUGAGACUCCCGUCCGCCUGGCAGAGUGAGUCAUGUGUCAACGAGUCGAGUUGUUUGGGAUUGCAGCUCUAAUUUGGUGGUAAAUUCCAUCUAAAGCUAAAUAUUGGUGGGAGACCGAUAGCGUACAAGUACCGUGAGGGAAAGAUGCAAAGAACUUUGAAAAGAGAGUUAAAGAGUACCUGAAAUUGCUGAAACGGAAGCGAAGGAAACCAGUGUUUGUUGGUUCAUAUUUCCCUAGCCACUUGUGGUUUGGGCGCUGUGAGCUUGCGUGAGUUUGGGUUGGUUGAUCCCUUUGGAAGAGCGCAGACAGAGUUGAUGUUUGUUGCUAGCACUGGGUUUGACUGAUGCAGACGAAAUGGUUUUCUUUACCCCGUCUUGAAACACGGACCAAGGAGUCUAACAUAUGUGCGAGUACAGGGGUGUCAAACCUCCGUGCGUAAUGAAAGUGACAGUGGUUGGAUUAAUUUGCACAAUCCGCCGGCCUCAAUCCUUCGGGAGAACGGUCUGAGUGUGAGCAUACAUGUUGGGACCCGAAAGAUGGUGAACUAUGCCUGAAUAGGGUGAAGCCAGGGGAAACUCUGGUGGAGGCUCGUAGCGAUUCUGACGUGCAAAUCGAUCGUCAAAUUUGGGUAUAGGGGCGAAAG